rnacentral:tRNA from 2 species
GCCCCGGUGGCACAAUCGGUUAGCGCGCCGUACUUAUAAUGCGGAGGUUGUGAGUUCGAGCCUCACCCAGGGCA